AUUGGUCCUAGUCCUCUUCUAGUUUUGCCUAAACCGAUCCAUGCAAGUUAAUUCCACCAGUGAGUAAAUAAAGUCAUUCUCAAAGAAAUACUUUUACAAAAUGGUAUCAGAAAUUUUUUUAAUUCCAAGACACCCAGCCCCCCACACCUGCAGUACCUGACAUACACAAUAAGCAAAAGCUUGAUGUAGUUAUAGACUAAAGAGUUGGUUAAUUAUGUGCCAGCCACCGCGGUUAUACAUAAAACUCAUACUAAGAAACUUACAUCGGUCUAAAAGUGAUUAAGGUGUAACUACUUAAGGUGAAAAACAACUCCAGUACUAACAAGCUUCUACAGUAAACUAACAACUAAACAAAACUUACCUUAUAAAUCCCCACCUGAACCACUAAAGCUCAAAAAUAAACUGGGAUUAGAUACCCCACUAUAUGAGCCGUAAAAAUCAAAAACACCCAGAGAA
rnacentral:rRNA from 1 species